UGCCAGCAGCCGCGGUAAUACGGAGGGUGCGAGCGUUAAUCGGAAUUACUGGGCGUAAAGCGCGCGUAGGCGGUUUGUUAAGUCAGCUGUGAAAGCCCCGGGCUCAACCUGGGAACUGCAGUUGAUACUGGCCGACUAGAGUACGAGAGAGGGAGGUAGAAUUCCAUGUGUAGCGGUGAAAUGCGUAGAUAUAUGGAGGAAUGCCAGUGGCGAAGGCGGCCUCCUGGCUCGAUACUGACGCUGAGGUGCGAAAGCGUGGGUAGCAAACAGGAUUAGAUA
rnacentral:rRNA from 1 species